rnacentral:rRNA from 1 species
GAUGAACGCUGGCGGCGUGCCUAAUACAUGCAAGUCGAGCGAACAGACGAGGAGCUUGCUCCUCUGACGUUAGCGGCGGACGGGUGAGUAACACGUGGAUAACCUACCUAUAAGACUGGGAUAACUUCGGGAAACCGGAGCUAAUACCGGAUAAUAUAUUGAACCGCAUGGUUCAAUAGUGAAAGACGGUUUUGCUGUCACUUAUAGCUGGAUCCGCGCCGCAUUAGCUAGUUGGUAAGGUAACGGCUUACCAAGGGAACCAUGCGUAGCCGACCUGAGAGGGUGGUCGGCGACACUGGAACUGAGACACGGUCCAGACUCCUACGAGAGGCAGCAGUAGGGAAUCUUCCGCAAUGGGCGAAAGCCUGACGGAGCAACGCCGCGUGAGUGAUGAAGGUCUUCGGAUCGUAAAACUCUGUUAUUAGAGAAGAACAAAUGUGUAAGUAACUAUGCACGUCUUGACGGUACCUAAUCAGAAAGCCACGGCUAACUACGUG